rnacentral:rRNA from 1 species
AGAGUUUGAUCAUGGCUCAGAGCGAACGCUGGCGGCAGGCCUAAUACAUGCAAGUCGAACGCGCCUUCGGGUGAGUGGCGGACGGGUGAGUAACGCGUGGGAACGUGCCCUUUGGUUCGGAACAACACAGGGAAACUUGUGCUAAUACCGAAUGUGCCCUUCGGGGGAAAGAUUUAUCGCCAUUGGAGCGGCCCGCGUUGGAUUAGCUAGUUGGUGGGGUAAAGGCCCACCAGGGCUACGAUCCAUAGCUGGUCUGAGAGGAUGAUCAGCCACACUGGGACUGAGACACGGCCCAGACUCCUACGGGAGGCAGCAGUAGGGAAUCUUGCGCAAUGGGCGAAAGCCUGACGCAGCCAUGCCGCGUGAAUGAUGAAGGUCUUAGGAUUGUAAAAUUCUUUCACCGGGGAAGAUAAUGACGGUACCCGGAGAAGAAGCCCCGGCUAACUUCGUGCCAGCAGCCGCGGUAAUACGAAGGGGGCUAGCGUUGCUCGGAAUUACUGGGCGUAAAAGGGCGCGUAGGCGGACAUUUAAGUCGGGGGUGAAAGCCCAGGGCUCAACCCUGGAAUAGCCUUCGAUACUGGAUGUCUUGAGUUCGGGAGAGGUGAGUGGAAUGCCGAGUGUAGAGGUGAAAUUCGUAGAUAUUCGGCGGAACACCAGUGGCGAAGGCGACUCACUGGCCCGAUACUGACGCUGAGGCGCGAAAGCGUGGGGAGCAAACAGGAUUAGAUACCCUAGUAGUCC